rnacentral:pre_miRNA from 1 species
UAACUACUCCCUCCGUCCGGAAAUACUUGUCAUCAAAAUGGAUAAAAGAGGAUGUAUCUUGAUGUAUUUUAGUUCUAGAUACAUCUCUUUUUAUCCAUUUUGAUGACAAGUAUUUUCGGACGGAGGGAGUACACU